rnacentral:rRNA from 1 species
GUGCCAGCAGCCGCGGUAAUACCGGCAGCCCGAGUGAUGGCCGAUAUUAUUGGGCCUAAAGCGUCCGUAGCUGGCCGAACAAGUCCGUCGGGAAAUCCACGUGCUUAACACGUGGGUGACCGGCGGAAACUGUUCGGCUUGGGGCCGGAGGACCCGAGGGGUACGUCCGGGGUGGGAGUGAAAUCCUGUAAUCCUGGACGGACCGCCGGUGGCGAAAGCGCCUCGGGAAGACGGACCCGACAGUGAGGGACGAAAGUUGAGAUCUCGAACCGGAUUAGAAACCCGGGUAGUCC